CUUGCAUUAUAUAGUGUGUGUUUCUGAUUACAAUGAUCAAUCUUAGCCAUUACACUAAUCACUCUAGCCAUUAAACUAAUCACGCUACCGUUACAAUAAUUACUCCUCUACACUUACAAAAUCAUGCCUAACUAGGAAAGGGAAAAGAUGGGAGAAUUGGAUAAUCCAUAAUUAGAUCCCUACUGAUAUUCCCCUUUAAAUUGAUGCUGGUCGAUCAAGAAGCAUCAAUUUGUUUACAAGAAAUUGAUGACGAUUUCGCAUUAGAGAUUUUGUAAAAAUGUCAGCUUUCUAAAGAGCAAUGGAAAUGUAAGGAAGAGAAAUGACACAAGUAUCCAAAGCCUCACGAAUAGAAUGGCAAUCCACUUCAAUAUGCUUAGUUCGCUCAUGGUAAACCGGAUUAGCAGCAAUCUGAAUGGCACUUGUGUUGUCGACAUGGAGUGGAGUAGGAAGAGAUUGAGGAAAACCAAGUUCGGCAAGAAGCCCUUGAAGCCAUAUAAUCUCGGAACAAGCAGCAAGCAUCACCCGAUAUUCAGAUUCAGUAGAUGACUUGAAAACAGGAUCUUGCUUCUUACUUUUUCAAGAUAUCAGAGAAUCACCAAGAAACGUGCACCACCCGUGACAGAACGUCGAGAGUCUGGACAACCAGCAUAAUCAACAUCACUAUAAACAGUAAGACAAAGAGAAGAGCCGGCAAGAAAGAAAAAUUCAAGACUAGAUGUGCCUCGAAAAUAGCCAAUGUUACGACGAAUGGCAGCUAGAUGGAGAUGAUGUGGAAUGUGCAUGAACUGGCUAACUUGCUGGACUGCGAAAGAAAUAUCAGGUCUCCUAAUAGUCAAAUAAUUCAAGCUCCCCACUAGUUGACGAUACACGGUAAGAUCAGAGAGAAGAUCACCUUCCUCACAGUAGAUGAAUCCUGAAGACCGGCCAACUUAAUCAAAUCUUGCGUGUAUUUAUGCUAAUUCAGGAAAAUAAUAGAGGAAUCCGUGUGAAGUUCCAACCCUAAGAAGUACAUAAGAGAUCCAAGAUCCUUCAUAUGAA
rnacentral:lncRNA from 1 species